GACGAACGCUGGCGGCGUGCUUAACACAUGCAAGUCGAACGAUGAAGACGGAGCUUGCUCCGGUGGAUCAGUGGCGACCGGGUGAGUAACAAGUGAGCAAUCUGCCCUUGACUCUGGGAUAACUGCGGGAAACAGUAGCUAAUACCGGAUACGACACCUUGGGGCAUCCCAGGGUGGGGCAAGCAUUUCGGUCAAUGAUGAGCACGAGGCCUAUCAGCUAGUUGGUGGGGUAAUGGAUCACCAAGGCGACGACGGGUAGCCGGCCUGAGAGGGUGACCGGCCACACUGGAACUGAGACACGGUCCAGACUCCUACGGGAGGCAGCAGUGUGGAAUAUUGCACAAUGGGCGAAAGCCUGAUGCAGCAACGCCGCGUGAGGGAUGAAAGCCUUCGGGUUGUAAACCUCUUUUAGCAGGGAAGAAGCGAAAGUGACGGUACCUGCAGAAAAAGCACCGGCUAACUACGUGCCAGCAGCCGCCGUAA
rnacentral:rRNA from 1 species